UUUUAUAAGUUUGGUAUACGUUUAACUCAAGCAAAUGGAGUUUUUGGAGCCUAAUGAUAAAUUUGGUAAGUUAUAGCUGAAUCUUUGGAGUUCUGCCUAUAACUUCUAUACAAGAAAAGCAUAAAUCUUUAUAGCAUUAAUUUGGUAAACAAGUUGCUAUUGCUCACGGCACAGUUGCAUAAUAUUAACAAAUAAUAUUAAUAUUGAUUGAUAUAACUUACCAUUAUUUUACACUACCAUUUAUGUAACUUAUAAAAAAAAAUGUUAUUAUAUAAGAUGUUCAUGUACACACCCUAAUAUAAACUUAUUUUAUUCCACUUCUUUCUUUACACGAAAAAUUAAAAAAAUUCAAAUUGACAAAAUGCUCCAAGACAAACAAGGACGACCUACAACUAAAGGAGUUGUCAAACUUCGCAGAAUCAUGUCCAUUGAAAAUGUUGAACAUGUAUUAAUAAGUAUAAUUGGUAUUGUUAUAUAUGCAAGCCCCAUUACAUUGGCCAAAGAUAAUGUCACAUACCUACAAGAUAUUGUAUAAAUUGAUAAAAGUUGCUUUGCAGUUAUGUUGACUAUAUCAAGUCAUUUCAUAUAUGGGCCGAAUGCACUGGACAAUAUUAAGGAUGCAAUUCCUUUCUUAAUAUGUGGAUUAACUGUGGAGAAGAAUAAUGAUGGAAUUUCAUUACGUUGUGGUAUUGAUACAACUAUAACAAUUGAUCCCAGAUGUAAAAAGGCAAGAAGAAUGAUGUGUUGGUUUUUGAAACAUCGGUUUGCCCAACACAAAGUAAAUUGGAUAAAAAGAAGCUCAUUUUCGUUAUUUAUAACUCUAAAAAUAUCUAAUGCAAGGCGAACAACAAUCAACGAAUUCAUGAACAUGGAUCAUGUAUGGCUGUAUUUAAAUUA